GAUGAACGCUGGCGGCGUGCCUAAUACAUGCAAGUCGAGCGAACAGAUGAGGAGCUUGCUCCUCUGACGUUAGCGGCGGACGGGUGAGUAACACGUGGAUAACCUACCUAUAAGACUGGGAUAACUUCGGGAAACCGGAGCUAAUACCGGAUAAUAUAUUGAACCGCAUGGUUCAAUAGUGAAAGACGGUUUUGCUGUCACUUAUAGAUGGAUCCGCGCCGCAUUAGCUAGUUGGUAAGGUAACGGCUUACCAAGGCAACGAUGCGUAGCCGACCUGAGAGGGUGAUCGGCCACCCUGGAACUGAGACACGGUCCAGACUCCUGCGGGAGGCAGCAGUAGGGAAUCUUCCGCAAGGGGCGAAAGCCUGACGGAGCAACGCCGCGUGAGGGAUGAAGGUCUUCGGAUCGUAAAACGCUGUUAUUAGUGAAGAACAAAUGUGUAAGUAACUAUGCACGUCUUGACGGUACCUAAUCAGAAAGCCACGGCUAACUACGUG
rnacentral:rRNA from 1 species